AACGAACGCUGGCGGCAGGCUUAACACAUGCAAGUCGAACGCCCCGCAAGGGGAGUGGCAGACGGGUGAGUAACGCGUGGGAAUCUACCUAGUUCUACGGAACAACACAGGGAAACUUGUGCUAAUACCGUAUACGCCCUACGGGGGAAAGAUUUAUCGGAAUUAGAUGAGCCCGCGUAAGAUUAGCUAGUUGGUGGGGUAAUGGCCUACCAAGGCGACGAUCUUUAGCUGGUCUGAGAGGAUGAUCAGCCACACUGGGACUGAGACACGGCCCAGACUCCUACGGGAGGCAGCAGUGGGGAAUAUUGGACAAUGGGCGCAAGCCUGAUCCAGCCAUGCCGCGUGAGUGAUGAAGGCCUUAGGGUUGUAAAGCUCUUUCAGUGGGGAAGAUAAUGACGGUACCCACAGAAGAAGCCCCGGCUAACUUCGUGCCAGCAGCCGCCGCAGUAAAC
rnacentral:rRNA from 1 species